rnacentral:rRNA from 1 species
AGGACGAACGCUGGCGGCGUGCUUAACACAUGCAAGUCGAGCGGUAAGGCCUUUCGGGGUACACGAGCGGCGAACGGGUGAGUAACACGUGGGUGAUCUGCCCUGCACUUCGGGAUAAGCCUGGGAAACUGGGUCUAAUACCAGAUAUGACCUCCUAUCGCAUGGUGGGUGGUGGAAAGAUUUAUCGGUGCAGGAUGGGCCCGCGGCCUAUCAGCUUGUUGGUGGGGUAAUGGCCUACCAAGGCGACGACGGGUAGCCGACCUGAGAGGGUGACCGGCCACACUGGGACUGAGACACGGCCCAGACUCCUACGGGAGCAGCAGUGGGAAUAUUGCACAAUGGGCGAAAGCCUGAUGCAGCGACGCCGCGUGAGGAUGGACGGCCUUGGGUGUAAACCUCUUUCAGCAGGACGAAGCGCAAGUGACGUACUGCAGAAGAAGCACCGGCUAACUAGUCGCAGCAGCCGC